GGGGAGGCUUUACUGCAGUCGAACGGGGAUGCCAUUUUUGAAGCGAUUAGCUUGCUAAGAGUGGAAAUGUUGGCAUCUUAUUGGCGGACGGGUGAGUAACGCGUGGGGAACCUGCCCUGUACAGGGGGAUAACACUUAGAAAUAGGUGCUAAUACCGCAUAAGCGCACAGUAUCGCAUGAUACAGUGUGAAAAACUCCGGUGGUACAGGAUGGACCCGCGUCUGAUUAGCUGGUUGGCGGGGUAACGGCCCACCAAGGCGACGAUCAGUAGCCGGCCUGAGAGGGUGAACGGCCACAUUGGGACUGAGACACGGCCCAAACUCCUACGGGAGGCAGCAGUGGGGAAUAUUGGACAAUGGGGGGAACCCUGAUCCAGCGACGCCGCGUGAGUGAAGAAGUAUUUCGGUAUGUAAAGCUCUAUCAGCAGGGAAGAAAAUGACGGUACCUGACUAAGAAGCCCCGGCUAACUACGUGCCAGCAGCCGCGGUAAUACGUAGGGGGCAAGCGUUAUCCGGAUUUACUGGGUGUAAAGGGAGCGUAGACGGUGCAGCAAGUCUGAUGUGAAAGGUCGGGGCCCAACCCCGGGACUGCAUUGGAAACUGUUGAACUGGAGUACAGGAGAGGUAAGCGGAAUUCCUAGUGUAGCGGUGAAAUGCGUAGAUAUUAGGAGGAACACCAGUGGCGAAGGCGGCUUACUGGACUGUAACUGACGUUGAGGCUCGAAAGCGUGGGGAGCAAACAGGAUUAGAU
rnacentral:rRNA from 1 species